GAAAUGCGAUAAGUAAUGUGAAUUGCAGAAUUCAGUGAAUCAUCGAAUCUUUGAACGCACCUUGCGCUCCUUGGUAUUCCGAGGAGCAUGCCUGUUUGAGUGUCAUGGAAUUCUCAACUCUAUUUGCUUUUGUGAAUAGAGCUUGGAUUUGGAGGUUUAUUGCUGGUACUUGUGAUCGGCUCCUCUUGAAUGCAUUAGCUCGAACCUUUGCGGAUCAGCUAUCGGUGUGAUAAUUGUCUACGCCGUUGCAGUGAAGCAUAUCAAUGGACUCGGCUUCCAAUCGUCCUUUACUGGACAAUGUCUUUGACCUUUGACCUCACAUCAGGUAGGAUUACCCGCUGAACUUAAGC
rnacentral:misc_RNA from 1 species